CAGUCGCCGCGGUAAUACGAAGGGGGCUAGCGUUGCUCGGAAUGACUGGGCGUAAAGGGCGCGUAGGCGGAUUGUUUAGUUAGGCGUGAAAUUCCUGGGCUUAACCUGGGGACUGCGCUUAAUACAGGCAGUCUAGAGUAAGGAAGAGGGUUGUGGAAUUCCCAGUGUAGAGGUGAAAUUCGUAGAUAUUGGGAAGAACACCGGUGGCGAAGGCGGCAACCUGGUCCAUGACUGACGCUGAGGCGCGAAAGCGUGGGGAGCAAACAGGAUUAGAUACCCGUGUAGUCCCUGUCUCUUAUAC
rnacentral:rRNA from 1 species